CCCUUAGAUGUUCUGGGCCGCACGCGCGCUACACUGUUCGACGCAGCGAGUCUUAACCUUGACCGGAAGGUUUGGGUAAUCUUCAGCAAAGUCGAACGUGAUGGGGAUCGAUCAUUGCAAUUAUUGAUCGUGAACGAGGAAUUCCUAGUAAGUGCAAGUCAUCAGCUUGCGCUGAUUACGUCCCUGCCCUUUGUACACACCGCCCGUCGCUACUACCGAUUGAAUGAUCCGAUGAAUACCAUGGAUUGAGAGUACGAAUGGGUUCGCUCAUUUCUGCUGCUCGAGAAGUGGAGUAAAUCUUAUCAUUUAGAGGAAGGAGAAGUCGUAACA
rnacentral:rRNA from 1 species